rnacentral:rRNA from 1 species
GACGAACGCUGGCGGCGUGCUUAACACAUGCAAGUCGAACGGUGAAGGGACCAGCUUGCUGGUUCUGGAUGAGUGGCGAACGGGGGAGUAACACGUGAGUAACCUGCCCCCUUCUUCUGGAUAACCGCAUGAAAGUGUGGCUAAUACGGGAUAUUCUGGGUCUGUCGCAUGGCGGGCCCGGGAAAGAUAUUGCUUCGGUGGGGGAUGGGCUCGCGGCCUAUCAGCUUGUUGGUGGGGGGAUGGCCUACCAAGGCGGUGACGGGUAGCCGGCCUGAGAGGGGGGACGGUCACACUGGGACUGAGACACGGCCCAGCCUCCUACGGGAGGCAGCAGUGGGGAAUAUUGCACAGUGGGCGCCAGCCUGAUGCAGCGACGCCGCGUGAGGGAUGGAGGCCUUCGGGUUGUAAACCUCUUUCGCCAGUGAAGCAGGCCUGCUCCUUGUGGGUGGGUUGACGGUAGCUGGAUAAGAAGCGCCGGCUAACUACGUG